UUGAAACGGUCCGAUGCACUUCACUUGCAAUGCAGAUCAUCAUUUCUGGACAGCUUUCUACUUACUGCUGUGGACAUGAAAGGAUCGUCCUAGGCUUGCCCAUGCUGAUGGGCUGCACCACAGCAGUACUGGAGCUGAAUUCCUGUUAGAAAACAUCUUCAGGAUGCUUUGACCAGGACACCUCCAAUGUGAAGCAGUGGACAGCUGAAGAUGUUGCUGGCUGUUAUUGCUAGA